rnacentral:tRNA from 1 species
CUGGAGAUGGCUCAGUGGUUAAGAGCACUGGCUGCUCUUUCAGAAGACUUGAGUUUAAUUCUCAACAUCCACG